CUCAACGUCAUUUGUAUGUCCUUGUACAGCGUCUCAUAUAAUAAUUAUAGAAAUGUUUUCUUCCUUUUUAACGGCUAAUUAAUCGCUUCAUCGUCUCAUAAAUGAUUUAUUAAAGAAUAUCCCUCAACUUUAAGAUUUAAUCUGAAUUGCAGACAAAUUCAUCUCCUAGAGAACCUCAUGACAUUGAAAAAUCCAUAAAUUUCCUUGUGUACAGACAGCAGAUAUUGUGUUCGGGAUAUUGACUUCAAUAAGCAGGCUUUACCCAAUUGAUCCGUUUAUACAGCCAAAGCCGUAUUUGAUUUCUAUAAAAUAAAUGUAAAAAUUAUUGGAAGUGAUUUGCAACCGUGUUCUGCUAUUUGAGAGACAUUUAGAACAAAUUAUUCGGUAUAUAAAAUGUUGCCAAACGACAUGUAAUAAAUAUCGAAUACUUUCUCUUAUUAAUUUCAUACUUCAUAAUAAAUUUUAAAUGGUAUAUCUUGUAUAAAUUCCAAUAAAUUUUAUUUUAAUCAUUCUUAGAAUAGUAUAAAAAAUAGAAUGUGAACUUAAUGAAAUGACUUUUCGAAAAUUUAGGCAAAUUAAAGUUUCACGAAAUCUAAUCAAGUCAUAAUUUAUUAGAUUAAAGUUGUUUAGUAAUUAUUUCAAUAUGUUGUUAGAAUAAAACUAUGAUUAUUCCCAGAAAUAUCAUAAAAAUAUUCAAAAAUUAACAAUACUGAUUUCAUUGUUUUAUUGACUUGAUUUUAUUAUUCGAUAACGCAUGUUUCAUAAUGUUAAAGACAAAGACAAAGAUUGCUGAUUCAGUAUUUAAAUGACAAUUCUUUGAAUAUUCUUGGGAGUUUCUCUAAUUUUAAUUUGUCUUCAGGCAAUUUCCAUUUGUUUUUACCAGAUAUGCUUAUUAUUUCAAUGAAAUAAACUAUUGUUUAACAAAUUAAUUAUAUUAUAACAUCGUUCUGCAAUCGGGCCCUACGGGAUUCUUAGAAAUUAGUUUUUUUAUUUUUUAUUUUGCAUAAAUUGAUAUGUAAAUCAUUAAAAGCCGUCUUGAAGUCUUGUUGAAUAUCUCAUGCUAAUAACACUGAAAAUUAAAUAAUAUAUACUAAUUUUUUCGGUAGGAGAUUAUGUUGAGUGCUGUUUCUUUGAUAUGUGACUUAUAUAUUUAGAUUAUUUUCCAUCCAUGAAUUCAAUUUAUAAAGUACGAAAACGAACUAUAAUUUUACUUUAUGCAAAUCAAUAUUGCAAUUUACUUUAUUCAUCCUUAUAAUGCCGCAAAUUAUCGCAAUAAUAUAAUCAA